GAUGAACGCUGGCGGCGUGCCUAAUACAUGCAAGUCGAGCGAACAGACGAGGAGCUUGCUCCUCUGACGUUAGCGGCGGACGGGUGAGUAACACGUAGAUAACCUACCUAUAAGACUGGGAUAACUUCGGGAAACCGGAGCUAAUACCGGAUAAUAUAUUGAACCGCAUGGUUCAAUAGUGAAAGACGGUUUUGCUGUCACUUAUAGAUGGAUCCGCGCCGCAUUAGCUAGUUGGUAAGGUAACGGCUUACCAAGGCAACGAUGCGUAGCCGACCUGAGAGGGUGAUCGGCCACACUGGAACUGGGACACGGUCCAGACUCCUACGGGAGGCCGCAGUAGGGAAUCUUCCGCAAUGGGCGAAAGCUUGACGGAGCAACGCCGCGUGAGUGAUGAAGGUCUUCGGAUCGUAAAACUCUGUUAUUAGGGAAGAACAAAUGUGAAAGUAACUAUGCACGUCUUGACGGUACCUAAUCAGAAAGCCACGGCUAACUACGUG
rnacentral:rRNA from 1 species